GAUGAACGCUGGCGGCGUGCCUAAUACAUGCAAGUCGAGCGAACGGACGAGAAGCUUGCUUCUCUGAUGUUAGCGGCGGACGGGUGAGUAACACGUGGAUAACCUACCUAUAAGACUGGGAUAACUUCGGGAAACCGGAGCUAAUACCGGAUAAUAUUUUGAACCGCAUGGUUCAAAAGUGAAAGACGGUCUUGCUGUCACUUAUAGAUGGAUCCGCGCUGCAUUAGCUAGUUGGUAAGGUAACGGCUUACCAAGGCAACGAUGCAUAGCCGACCUGAGAGGGUGAUCGGCCACCCUGGAACUGAGACACGGUCCAGACUCCUACGGGAGGCAGCAGUAGGGAAUCUUCCGCAAUGGGCGAAAGCCUGACGGAGCAACGCCGCGUGAGUGAUGAAGGUCUUCGGAUCGUAAAACUCUGUUAUUAGGGGAGAACAUAUGUGUAAGUAACUGUGCACAUCUUGACGGUACCUAAUCAGAAAGCCACGGCUAACUACGUG
rnacentral:rRNA from 1 species